AACUGGAGGGUUUUUUCUACCCGGACUUAACUAGGGGAUUUUAAAAAUGGGCAGCCGGCUGCAGAUACAGGAAAUGGAAACGACCGAGGGAGGCUCUCUCUCAACAGAUGCUCUGUGUGGGCUGGCCUCUGCUCCUGCCUAAAUUAUUCAGACAGGAUGUUGCCUCAUUGAGGACGGCCUGGUCAGGGCUUAAAGUUCAAUAACAAAGAGUCGUUGAGAAUAAGAAAAACUAAUAUAAACCUUAUUGUUGGAAGCCUAACUUUGCUUUAAAACAAUUACAAGCGCAACGGUGGAGCAUGACAUGGCUGGGGAAAAAUUACUAAGGCUAUGCUCUGGGGCUGAACAGGCCGACCACAGAUGGGAAACACACCUACAAGGUAUCCCUCACAACUGACAGAAGAAUGGAAUAAUGUGAUGCCUGGAGCCCAUCCAUGCCUGGGGACCGACAUCCCUGGAUCCUCUCCUCACCGCCCAUUUUCCCUAUGUGACUGCUUCAAGAUUCUGUAAUCCUUGAAGAUGGGUUUUUGAGACAUAAGUCACCCAUCUUCCGAUUAGCUGGCUAAUCUAAUUAAACUUCCUUUCUCAAUCUCUAACUCGUUGUGAUUAAUUGGCUCAGAUCGGGGCUAGCAGAGCAAGCCCAUUGUUAGGUAUCUUCUGAGUUAAUAAAGUAACAGAAGAAAGAAAACACCUGCUUACAUAAAGUUUUUAAUCUCUUUUUUCUCUUGGAUAUCAAUAUGAUCUUUGUCUCUUUACUCUUUUCUAUAGAUAUAUCUCUCAUUAUCUCUGUUGUUACUUGAUCUUUGAGAAUAAAACUUCACAUUAGGCCAGAAGAACUUUUGGAUAGGACUUUUUCUGCCCACUUCCAUCCACAUAUUUAUUUCAGUAUGUAACAUUACAAAGUUUUUAACUGCACACUUUUUGCAUAACCUAUGAAGCAUCUCUCAAAAGCUUCCUAGGCCGUAUCAGUCAUGGCUUAUGAAUAGUAUGUAUCUUCACCUCGUGGUCUCGAGUUUAUCGUGUGACUAUUUAAUAAGUUAGUUGAAUUGUAUAAUCAAAAGGAUCAAGAGAAGCAAACAGUAUUUUAAUAUAAAAUAGAGGUAUUGCAAAUUAGAACCUUCCAGAUAUUUUAGAAAAUAUUUGACACCCCCCAAAUAUCCUAUUUUUCAAUCUACCUCUAAAGGGUACUCUACUCAUGUGUAGCCAGCUACACCAUGAUCUAAGAUAUAGGUGAAUUCAAGAACUGAGAUUAUAUACAAUUAAAGAAAAAGGAAAGGGAAUGGAAAGACUGAAAUUAGUUAAUUGCCUCCUAUGUGCCAAGCCCUGUGACUAGCAUAGAUUAUUUACUCUUUACAACAAUCCUAUGAGGAUUGUCUCAUUGCAUCAGUGAAGAAACUAAGGUUCAGAAAGGGUAAACAACUCUCCCAAGAUCACACAGCUAAUAAUUAAGUUGUGUUGUUUUCCAAAGCUUGCUCUUUGUGCUAUCUCUCCUGAUGUCAAAAGAGGUGAAUUCCAAAGUGAUUAAAAGAUUCAAAGAGAUUUUAGAGGUAAUCUCAUCAAUCCCACUUGUUUGGAGAUAAGGAAACUGAGGCAAGGGAGGUUAUAUUGUAUCCAUCUCAUAACGCACAUCUCAGUUAUCAUUUCCUCCUAGAAGCUUUCUAUACUCAGCUCUCCAUCUUCCCACCUCAUCCUGCCCCGUAAUCCACCAUCAUUAAAAUCCUUUACAUGCUAUAUCGAGUGGUGGGCAAGAGUAAGUGGCAUCUGGAGCCUGAAUUUAAAUCUCUGAUCUACCCCUUUGGGGUGUGUGACCUUGGAUAAGUUACUCAACCUCUCUGAGCUUCAGUUUCCUCACUGUGAAAAAGGAGACAGUAAGAGUACCUAUCUUAUAGAGUGGUUGUGAUAACUAAAUGAAUUAAAACAUAGAAAGUUCUUUAGAAUGGAAUGUGGCGUGUGCUAAGUGUUUUUUGUGUGUUAGCGAUUACUUUUUAUUAUUAUGCUCCAUAGUACUUCUCUUUCGGUUUACGGUUACAUCUAUACAGGCUUGUCUCCUCAAUGAGAUGGAGAUGGUUUCUUGCACAUUUUUGCAAUUCUUCCCUCAGUGCCAAGAUCAGUGCUUAACAAUUCUAAACACUGAACAAAGUGCUGGUGGUUUGCUUUCAUUUUCCUAAUUAAGGACUUUUUCCAAAUUUUCCACAUUUUUUCAAAUUUCCCCAGUUAAUGACUCCAUCAAGUACAGAAUCCAAGCCUCCAAGACCUUAUUCUGCUUCUCUUGAGGAUCUUGAUUAUUGAUUCCCAGGCUGGCAAUUUCUCCCUGGAUUCCUCCUUGCUGUUAGACAUCUAAAAGCACAGGGGUAGUUACAUAUGCCCGUGAUUCCAUUUGGGAAUUAGUUAUUUCUUUUUUGUUCCUUUAGGGGAUUAAUAUUAAGCAUGGACUGACUUUUUAUCCUUGGUAUUAUGGGGUUGAUGCACUGGUCUAACGCAACCAGUAAUCCUAGUAUGUGUUUUCUACCCACAGCUUCCCAUUUCCAUUGAUACUGGUACCUUGAACUCCACCUACGAGCAACCAUGAGGAAAAGUAAGGCCUUUAACACUUUUUGUUUCCUUUCACAUUCUCCUCUGUAUCCAAUAUUGCCAUCACAAAAAGGACCUGUGUAAAUUAAGGCUUCAUUGCCUUGAGGUAAGUUGAGACUGUGGAAUCCUGAGAUUUCCUGAUUUCAGGAAAGGUAGCUAUUGUUUUUUGAUUUCCACUCAGAAUAUUUAACCUUGGCAUCUCAACAGUACCAAUCUAUUGCUUUUAAAAGUAUGGUAUGUAAAAGGUUGUGACAAGCUUUCUGAAAGUGUGGACUCCGGCUAUUGGACUUUAGCGUUCCAUCCUCUUUUGGCAAAGUUGUGGAUUUUCUUUUAAUGACAAAUUUUAGCUCUAUAGUUUUAAGAUUCAAAUAUUGUUCAAUGUCUAAUUUUUGGGAAAAUGCUGCUGUCAUUCCACUGUGAGCUUUAUAAAUUGUCCUUUUCCAGGUCGCCCCUUCCUGAUUAGCAGAACUUGGGGGGUAAAUAUAUGUAUUAGAAAGUCUCCCUGACCUUUGUGAAGCUUUGGAGACUUGUAUGUUACUCAAGGUGAAUCUUUUAGUGUGUCAAACUCUGUAUCAGGAAAUAUAAAGCUGCUUUGAAAUAAAAUGAAACUCAUCAUAGGAAAGUUCUGAUGUGUAGAAUUACAAGAAAAAUGAAACUUUAUCAAAUCCUUAAUUUUCCAUUAAGAUGAGUUCACUUUUACCUGUUACUUUUUUUUUCUUGCUGUCUCUACCCCUGGUGUCUAAACUCUGUGAGGACCGGUUCAUAGUCUCUUGUCGAGCCCUUUCUUUCUAGUAGUACCUAUUAUAAAUGGUCAAUAACUAUUUCUUGAACAAUAAAUGACAAUUAGGGAAAUACUACAUGUUAUGGGCAACAUCCAACUUAGAAAUGCGUUGUGUUCUAAAUGGCAUUUUGUAUUUCAUUAUUUGGGAUGCAGAAUAUAUUUUCUCAUAUAAGGAGUAAUGUGAAAAGAAUUUAGAUUCCUAGGUUCAGUCAUAAAAGCAAGUUUACUUCGUAUUGUAAAUUCUAUUGUUUUAGCUACUCCAGCGCAAACUUUUCCGUGUUAGCAUGGGAAUUGAAGCAUCAUUUAAAAACUGGUUUAUAUAGUGAAGGCACUUUUUAUCCUACGGUGAACUCCCCACUGAAGUCAGGCAUGAAUUUUCCUCUAUGUCAUCUCCUUCCUGGGUAAACAUUAGUCAAACGUAUCCAUAGACAUGAGAAACUCGCCACUAAGGGGUCAAUAUUGUCUUCUCCAGGGCUUUGUGGGGGACUGUAUAAGAGUCCUCUCCUUCCAUUAAAUUCUUCCCUAAAUUAUGAGGACUUCUCCUUUUAGCCACACAUCCUGUAUAAUUACUUCAGCUUCCUAAGGAAAAUUGUGAAGGAAAACUCUGGAACUAAUUUUGAAGCCACUACAGAUCCACAGGCCUUUAUCCAAAACCUGUGGGGCCGGAUGUGUUUUGGAAUUCAGAGAGAGUUUUGGGUUUUAGAAAGGUAACAUGACAUAUAUGCUGCAUGUUGCGUGAUAUAUUGAGCUUGUAAUUCAACACAAUAAUAUUUCUUCAGCUAAAGGUGUGAAUAUUCCCACUAAGUGAAAUGAAUAGAUAUUGUUUAGAACCUGACAUCACUUCAAUUCAGGUUCUGCUGGCAAAGUUAUCAGAGUCACUUUGUUUUCAGAGCUAUUUCUUUUUCUUUCUUUCUUUCUUUUUGAGGAAGAUUAGCCCUGAGC